GCCCGAGUGUGGGGCCAGGUGUGGGGCCCGAGCACAGCUGGCUCCCAUUUGAGGGGC
ensembl:miRNA